rnacentral:rRNA from 1 species
GACGAACGCUGGCGGCGUGCCUAACACAUGCAAGUCGAACGGAACUGUUUUGAAAGAUUUCUUCGGAAUGAAUUUGAUUUAGUUUAGUGGCGGACGGGUGAGUAACGCGUGAGUAACCUGCCUUCAAGAGGGGAAUAACAUUCUGAAAAGAAUGCUAAUACCGCAUGACAUAUCGGAACCACAUGGUUUUGAUAUCAAAGAUUUUAUCGCUUGAAGAUGGACUCGCGUCCGAUUAGUUAGUUGGUGAGGUAACGGCUCACCAAGACCGCGAUCGGUAGCCGGACUGAGAGGUUGAACGGCCACAUUGGGACUGAGACACGGCCCAGACUCCUACGGGAGGCAGCAGUGGGGGAUAUUGCGCAAUGGGGGCAACACUGACGCAGCAACGCCGCGUGAAGGAUGAAGGUUUUCGGAUUGUAAACUUCUUUUAUUAAGGACAAAAAAUGACGGUACUUAAUGAAUAAGCUCCGGCUAACUACGUG